AAUUAAAUCCUAAAUAGAGUUGGAAACUUCAUAAAUUAAUCUAGCUUGGAUAGUGGACCACACAACCUAAAUAGUAAGAGUUCCAGGUGAAUCAGGACUUUUGGACAAGCAAUUUACCCAAAAAAAAAAAAAAAUGGCAUCUUUCAUUGCUGGAUAGUGGACCACACAACUUGGGCGUGUACUAUUCUGUGUCCAAGUUCUGCCAAUGGAUUGCUUUGCAAAGGAGGGCCGAAUCACAAGUUGUUGUACUCUUUAAACACCCACCAUGAUAUUGCAGGUUCCUCCUGUUCAAGCCUGCGAACCAUAGUUGAGCCUCUCCCAUCAAAUGAAAGGCAGCUAGGUUAACCUUGUCCUCCUCCGAAGUACACUGGUUAUGCAAGAAUUGUUUGCAACUGUUGAGCCAUCCUAGCGGAUCGUUGGAACCAUCAUACCAAGGGAAGUCAAGUUUCGUAUGUCUAGGCACUGUACGCCCCUCCGUCCUGCUCGUCGUUUUGAUUGACAAAAUUCUGCUGGCUGCUACUAGUCCCAUCUUGGUUCAUUCCCCUUUUGAUAGUUCGAACGAGCUCAGAUAAUUUCUGAGCCAAGUCUUUGAAUUGAGCUUCGGAUUGUUGCAUUAAAGUAUUUAGCUUCUCUUCCAAAUUGGUUGGUUCACCCAUGACGACUGGCUCUAAUACCAAGUUGUUAUGUGCCCUCGAAUAGGAUCUCAUCACAAGUUGUUGUACUUGGAUACCUUCUGAGGAAACUGUCUUGCCUUUGUUCACGUUCCUGCUUUUUCUUGAAGAACUUAUUGUGAACACUAGUUGAGGGCUUGUUAGAGAGAACCUUCUAAUCUCAUAAGGCAAGUUUAAAUGAAUGCUGCUUAUUUUCUUUCUUCAUAAUCAGUCCCCUUUUGUAGAGAGGUUACAACAUUACAAGAAACAAGGCUUCCUAACGAUACGAAAAUUACAUCAUAACAACAAAUUAAAAUUUAAAAAUCUGAAAACAUGAAUUAAGGCUUGAAAUGCGGAUUCUGGAGCAGGUCCCUUGAUAACUGGUCCCUUGAUAACAGCUCCCUUGAACCCUGAAACUGAAAACAUGACAGCAAUCAACUUAAUCGACAAUCUGAUCUGCUAGCACAUUUUCCCUCCUUGUUGCUGAGCGUCGGCCAUAGGAUCUGCCCACAAAGGCAUCCACAACACCCUGCUGGAACAUGCCAAAAUGCUCCGCAUCAGAAAUAGACAAUACUUAACAUUAACAUCUUAAAUAAAUGAAUGGACUUGGAUAAAUUUGGGAAAGAGUGGAAGUUCAGUUGCACAUUAAAUUUUUGUUUAGAAUGAUUAGUGUGAAAUAGUGAGAAGGGCUAUUUUGUCUAUGUUGUAUUUGUAUAUACAAUGCAUGGUUCCAUGUCCUUUUUUGCAUCCAUGUAGACAACCGUUUGCUCAUAUUUUUUCCAGGGUUUAGUAUGAGUUCGUUGUGGGGUUAACAUGAACAAACAUUUAUUUGGUGUGGUAUAUAUUUACUUCCAUUGGACUUUGUCAUCUUUCUGGCCUGUUUCAGCUUGUUUUGGAAGGUGUGAGGG
rnacentral:misc_RNA from 1 species